GGCUACCACAUCCAAGGAAGGCAGCAGGCGCGCAAAUUACCCAAUCCCGACACGGGGAGGUAGUGACAAUAAAUAACAAUACAGGGCCUUUACGGGUCUUGUAAUUGGAAUGAGUACAAUUUAAAUCCCUUAACGAGGAACAAUUGGAGGGCAAGUCUGGUGCCAGCAGCCGCGGUAAUUCCAGCUCCAAUAGCGUAUAUUAAAGUUGUUGCAGUUAAAAAGCUCGUAGUUGAAUUUUGGCCUUCGCCUGUGGGGUUCGGUCUUCAUUGAUCGGUACCUCAACGGGCGGGGCUCCACCUUCUGGGUUAGCCAGUCGUCAUUUCGGUGGCGGCUGGUGAACCAGAACUUUUACUUUGAAAAAAUUGGAGUGUUUAAAGCAGGCUUUCAAGCUUGAACAUAUUAGCAUGGAAUAAUGAAAUAGGACUUUGGCCUUAUUUCGUUGGUUUCUAAAGCCAAAGUAAUGAUGAAUAGGGAUAGUUGGGGACAUUAGUAUUCAAUUGUCAGAGGUGAAAUUCUUGGAUUUAUUGAAGACUAACUUCUGCGAAAGCAUUUGUCAAGGAUGUUUUCAUUAAUCAAGAACGAAAGUUAGGGGAUCGAAGACGAUCAGAUACCGUCGUAGUCUUAACCAUAAACUAUGCCGACUAAGGAUCGGAUGGUGUUAUAUUUUAUAUUGACCCAUUCGGCAUUUCAGCGAAAGCCAAGUUUUUGGGUUCCGGGGGGAGUAUGGUCGCAAGGCUGAAA
rnacentral:rRNA from 1 species